rnacentral:lncRNA from 1 species
CAAUACAAUAUCUUUUUCAAAAAAAUCAACCCAAAUUAGCCUCUACCCAACCCCAAACCGGGUCGAGCCGACCCAAUCCAAUACCCAAAUCCACUUCCUAACCCAAAAGACCGAACACACACAAAAAACACAUAGACGGACACAAUACAGAGAUAGACUCCUGAAGCGCAACCUUGGCUUCUUCUUUACACACAUAUACGCCUACACACAGAAGAUACAGGCUUGGAAGAGAGGACGGUGCACCUGUGAUUUCUUCUUAACAAAUCCACACAGAAUACAAAUACACACAAUCUAUACAGAACAAGAGACGAAGCCUGGAAAUUUGGAGAGGGCUGCGCAGCUGCGCAGCUUUUACAAGACCCAUCCGACGAUCUCUCUUCUUUGUUGACCAAGCGACACCUAUGGCUGAGCAACUCCGACGAAUCACCAAACAAUAAUUAAAAAUAGAACUCUGGCGUUGUGAUGUCCAAAACAGUCGUCCAAGCUCGAUCAGAUUAUAUACUGCAAAAAAAUCUGGCGAGUUUCGAGUUUGCGAUUUUGGAGCUGUAACUCUACUUCUCAUUGCACUGAAUUAAGCAUAGUUUCUCAUUGGUUUUCUCCGUCAAUUUAUCCAUUUCGAGGUAUUCUCUAGUUCUCGAUUUCGUUUCCUGUAUAGAUCUAGUAAAUCAUGUAUGUUUGUCAGUGAUCGUUGCUGGAAUAAAAUUAUAUGUUCUUCACGGUUGAAUUCAAUUGUUGUUACGGCAGAACUCCAUCACUGUCACUGCUGAUUUAUAUUCCAUUGUGAUUUCUGUUUAACAGAAUUAUUGGUAGUCAUCCUAUUUUCUAUUUUACAGAAUUGUGCAUGCAUUUUUCUCGUUGAUUGAAGAGGUUUAAUAGAUUGUGGUAAUACCUCGAGUUUAUAGGUCUUUGUCACUGGUUGAGUACAUUUAUAUACAUUAAGUUCAAAUGUGAAGCUCAAGAUUACUUGCGGUUUAUUUGAAGAUGAUUGUGUAUGAAUAUAAAGCUUAUACAGUUGCUCUAGGAUUGCAGUGAGUGUCGCUUCAGUUGUAAUUUGGGCCGUUGAUUGCAUUUCGAUGCUCGUUUUAGUUCAUUGUGACCCCUUCCAUGCCUAAGAAUGCAAAUCUGAAUUUGAAUAUUGUAGAUGUUGCUUCUACUUCGGAUAGGAUAGACGUUCAUGGAUCAAAUUUGUCGGUAUUUUAAUCAAAUCUUGUACAUGUUAGCUUCACUUGAGAUUGAUAAUAUUCCCAAGUUAAAGGCCAAAAUUUCUAGAAGCAGCCAUAUCUUUUCUCUU